rnacentral:rRNA from 1 species
AAAUAACAAUGAUUUCCUCAGUAACUGCGAGUGAAGUGGAAAGUGUCCAACGUUGAAAGCAGCACUGAUAACACAGUGUGGCAUUGUAACGUAUAGACUGAUCAUCGAGAUGAUUGACUAUAUUGAAGUCGUUGAGAAUGGCGCACCAUAGAGGGUUAUAGUCCCGUGUAUAAUAUAGUUUCAAUUGUUGUGUGAAUGAUCAUGUCAUAGAGUCGGGCUGUUUGGGAAUGCAGUCCAAAGUGGGUGGUAAACUCCAUCAAAGACUAAAUAUAGCUUCGAGACCGAUAGCGAACAAGUACCGUGAGGGAAAGUUGAAAAGCACUCUGAAAAGAAAGUGAAAAGUACGUGAAACCGUCAAUGGGGAAGCGGACAGUGUAAUCGUAGUAGUAUAUUGUUUGUAUUUGAAACAUUUAGGUGUUUUGAAUAAUUAGCAAUACAUUACGCGCUAGAAUGUUUGUUUUGAAUUGUUGGCACCAUGUAUAGUUGUUAAUAAUGAUGAUUUGAUUGACAAAUUGUCAAGUUGACAGUGUACAUGAUGUGUUGUAGAACAAUAUAGACAAGUAGAAUGUAUGUGAGUGUAUGAUUUGAUUAUAUAUUAAUGUGUUAAAUGUUGUAUUAUCCUGUUGAGUGGUUGUAUGCAGAAAUGUAUUGCAAGUUAUUCAAUAUGGUGUAAUGUAAUGUUUGACAUGUUUGUAUGUUUUAAGAUUGUAUGCCAAGACGAAAGUCGCAUACGUGAAGCUAGCGAGAUAUGACACUGAC